rnacentral:rRNA from 1 species
UCCAGACUCCUACGGGAGGCAGCAGUGGGGAAUAUUGCACAAUGGGGGAAACCCUGAUGCAGCGACGCCGCGUGAGUGAAGAAGUAUUUCGGUAUGUAAAGCUCUCUCAGCAGGGAAGAAAUAGCGACCUUUGGGUCGCCAGACGGUACCUGAUUAAGAAGCCCCGGCAAACUACGUGCCAGCAGCCGCGGUAAUACGUAGGGGGCGAGCGUUGUCCGGAAUGACUGGGCGUAAAGGGAGUGUAGGCGGCAUAUUAAGUUAUGUGUGAAAGCCCGCGGCUCAACCGCGGAAUUGCACAUAAAACUGGUAAGCUGGAGUGCAGGAGAGGUAAGUGGAAUUCCCGGUGUAGCGGUGGAAUGCGUAGAUAUCGGGAGGAACACCAGAGGCGAAGGCGACUUACUGGACUGUAACUGACGCUGAGGCUCGAAAGCGUGGGGAGCAAACAGGAUUAGAUACCCUAGUAA